UGCUAAGACUGUCAGUGUUUGGUGAAUUUUAUUUCAAACACUGGCAGUCUUGAUGG
rnacentral:pre_miRNA from 1 species